rnacentral:misc_RNA from 1 species
UGUGGGAGCUGGCUUGCCUGCGAUAGCGACCUGUCAGCUACCCCUUAUUUGGCUGAUACACCGCUAUCGCAGGCAAGCCAGCUCCCACA